rnacentral:rRNA from 1 species
CGUGAGAAUCUGCCAACAGGACGGGGACAACAGGGGGAAACCGCUGCUAAGACCCGAUAAACCGAAAGGGGAAAAAGAAAUUGCCAGUUGAUGAGCUCGCGUCGGAUUAGCUAGUUGGUAGUGUAAGGGACUACCAAGGCGACGAUCCGUAGCCGGUCUGAGAGGACGAUCGGCCACACUGGGACUGAGACACGGCCCAGACUCCUACGGGAGGCAGCAGUGGGGAAUUUUCCGCAAUGGGCGAAAGCCUGACGGAGCAAGACCGCGUGAGGGAGGAAGGCUCUUGGGUUGUAAACCUCUUUUCUCAAGGAGGAAGAAAUGACGGUACUUGAGGAAUCAGCAUCGGCUAACUCCGUGCCAGCAGCCGCGGUAAUACGGAGGAUGCAAGCGUUAUCCGGAAUGAUUGGGCGUAAAGCGUCUGCAGGUGGCAGUUCAAGUCUGCCGUUAAAGACUCCAGCUUAACUGGAGGAAGGCGGUGGAAACUGAACAGCUAGAGUGCGGUAGGGGCAGAGGGAAUUCCCGGUGUAGCGGUGAAAUGCGUAGAGAUCGGGAAGAACACCAGUGGCGAAAGCGCUCUGCUGGACCGCAACUGACACUCAGGGACGAAAGCUAGGGGAGCGAAUGGGAUUAGAUACCCCAGUAGUCCUAGCCGUAAACGAUGGAUACUAGGUGUUGUGCGUAUCGACCCGCGCAGUGCCGCAGCUAACGCGCUAAGUAUCCCGCCUGGGGAGUACGCACGCAAGUGUGAAACUCAAAGGAAUUGACGGGGGCCCGCACAAGCGGUGGAGUAUGUGGUUUAAUUCGAUGCAACGCGAAGAACCUUACCAGGACUUGACAUGUCCGGAAUCUCGGUGAAAGCUGAGAGUGCCUUCGGGAACCGGAACACAGGUGGUGCAUGGCUGUCGUCAGCUCGUGUCGUGAGAUGUUGGGUUAAGUCCCGCAACGAGCGCAACCCUCGUUUCUAGUUGCCAGCAUUAAGUUGGGCACUCUGGAGAGACUGCCGGUGACAAACCGGAGGAAGGUGGGGAUGACGUCAAGUCAGCAUGCCCCUUACGUCCUGGGCUACACACGUACUACAAUGCUUCAGACAAAGGGCAGCUAGCCAGCGAUGGUCAGCAAAUCCCAGAAACUGAGGCUCAGUUCAGAUCGCAGGCUGCAACUCGCCUGCGUGAAGGCGGAAUCGCUAGUAAUCGCCGGUCAGCAUACGGCGGUGAAUACGUUCCCGGGCCUUGUACACACCGCCCGUCACACCAUGGGAGCUGGCGGUGCCCGAAGUCGUUAUCCUAACCCCUCGGGGAGGGAGACGCCGAAGGCAAAGCUGGUGACUGGGGUGAAGUCGUAACAAGGUAGCCGUACCGGAAGGUGUGGCUGGAUCACCUCCUUUACAGGGAGACC